CAGCACAAGAUGUAUGCUCGUGCUCGCUGUCGUCGCAGGGGAAUCCGGUGCGAAUCCGGAACUGUCCCGCAACGGUGUACGAAGUGCGGCAAUCCGCACCCGUGAGUCCGAAGACCUGCCCGCAGUACGCCCGCGCC
rnacentral:ncRNA from 2 species